rnacentral:rRNA from 1 species
UACGAAGGGGGCUAGCGUUGUUCGGAAUUACUGGGCGUAAAGCGCACGUAGGCGGACUAUUAAGUCAGGGGUGAAAUCCCGAGGCUCAACCUCGGAACUGCCUUUGAUACUGCAAAUCUCGAGUCCGGAAGAGGUGAGUGGAAUUCCUAGUGUAGAGGUGAAAUUCGUAGAUAUUAGGAGGAACACCAAUAGCGAAGGCAGCUCGCUGGGACGGUACUGACGCUAAGGCGCGAAAGCGUGGGGAGCGAACAGG